UCCUAUGAAUUUGAAAUUCCAUUCCAUGAUUGUGCUUUCUAUAAAUAAAAAAUAUGACAUCGUGGUGUAGGGGCAUCCUCUGUCAGCUCUUCUAGUCAUGCAGGUAGUGCAUUUCCGUGUGCACCAACCACAUGGGGCUUAUUCUCAGCAUAGC
rnacentral:sRNA from 10 species